rnacentral:rRNA from 1 species
GAAACGACUGCUAAGACUGGAUAGGAAAAGUAAAGGCAUCUUUACUUUUUUAAAAGAUCUUCUUUGAAGGUAUGCUUAAGGAGGGGCUUGCGACACAUUAGUUAGUUGGUAGGGUAAAGGCCUACCAAGACUAAGAUGUGUAGCUGGACUGAGAGGUUGAACAGCCACAUUGGGACUGAGACACGGCCCAAACUCCCACGGGAGGCAGCAGUAGGGAAUUUUCGGCAAUGGAGGAAACUCUGACCGAGCAAUGCCGCGUGAACGAUGAAGUACCUCGGUAUGUAAAGUUCUUUUAUUAAGGAAGAAAAAAGAGUGGAAAAACUCCCUUGACGGUACUUAAUGAAUAAGCCCCGGCUAAUUAUGUGCCAGCAGCCGCGGUAAUACAUAAGGGGCGAGCGUUAUCCGGAAUUAUUGGGCGUAAAGGGUGCGUAGGCGGUUUAAUAAGUCUAUAGUUUAAUUUCAGUGCUUAACGCUGUUGUGCUAUAGAAACUGUUUUACUAGAGUGAGAUAGAGGCAAGCGGAAUUCCAUGUGUAGCGGUAAAAUGCGUAAAUAUAUGGAGGAACACCAGAGGCGUAGGCGGCUUGCUGGGUCUUUACUGACGCUGAGGCACGAAAGCGUGGGGAGCAAACAGGAUUAGAUACCCUGGUAGUCCACGCCGUAAACGAUGAGUACUAAGUGUCGGGUAAAACUGGUACUGAAGUUAACACAUUAAGUACUCCGCCUGAGUAGUACGUACGCAAGUAUGAAACUUAAAGGAAUUGACGGGACUCCGCACAAGCGGUGGAUCAUGUUGUUUAAUUCGAAGAUACACGAAAAACCUUACCAGGUCUUGACAUUUUCUUGCGAAGUUAUAGAAAUAUAAUGGAGGUCAUCAGGAAAACAGGUGGUGCAUGGUUGUCGUCAGCUCGUGUCGUGAGAUGUUAGGUUAAGUCCUAAAACGAGCGCAACCCUUGUCGUUAGUUGCCAGCAUGUAAUGAUGGGGACUUUAACGAGACUGCCAAUGAAAAACUGGAGGAAGGUGGGGAUUACGUCAAAUCAUCAUGCCCCUUAUGAUCUGGGCUACAAACGUGAUACAAUGGUUGAUACAAAGAGUAGCUGAAACGCGAGUUCUUAGCCAAUCUCAAAAAAUCAAUCUCAGUUCGGAUUGAAGUCUGCAACUCGACUUCAUGAAGUUGGAAUCGCUAGUAAUCGCGAAUCAGCAUGUCGCGGCGAAUACGUUCUCGGGGUUUGUACACACCGCCCGUCGA